AAAAUCUGUUGUAAAACACCAGAUUUGUUAACAAAUUAAUUAAAUCUGUGAUCACACAAAACAACUCUGUCAUGACUAUAUAACAUUUUUCCGGGUUAACAAAUCUAUUAUAACACAACAGAUUUUUGGUUACAAAUAGAAAAUAUGUUGCUACAAUAAGGAAAAAUUUGCGGUAUGGAAAACAAAUCAGUGACACAUUUGGUUUCAACAUUCUUAAUUUUGAAAUUUAAAAACAAAUCGGUGGAGACUAUAUGAAACAAAUCAGUCACGGUAAAAGAAUAUGAACAAAAAAAUCUGGCGUAACAUAACAUAGUAAAGUUUGUGGUACAAAACAAGUCUAUUGUAAAAAAUCUGUGGUUGACCAAAAAAUCUGUGAUCUUAAACAAAUCCGUCGCAACAAGAGCCACAGAUUUACCAAAAAUGACUAUGGCAUUUUCGUAAAUAAAUGUGGUUUUAUUGCCAUGCUGGAAUUAAAUAGUAAUGACAUUUCUGUAAUAUUGUUUUUCUACAAAGGAAAACAGGGAUAUUUUAGGUAUAAU
rnacentral:sRNA from 1 species